AUUGAACGCUGGCGGCAGGCCUAACACAUGCAAGUCGAGCGAGCGGCGGACGGGUGAGUAAUGUCUGGGAAACUGCCUGAUGGAGGGGGAUAACUACUGGAAACGGUAGCUAAUACCGCAUACCAUCAGAUGUGCCCAGAUGGGAUUAGCUAGUAGGUGGGGUAACGGCUCACCUAGGCGACGAUCCCUAGCUGGUCUGAGAGGAUGACCAGCCACACUGGAACUGUGACCGGGUCCAGACUCCUACGGGAGGCAGCAGGGGGGAAUAUUGGACAAGGGGCGAAAGCCUGAUGCAGCCAUGCCGGGUGGGUGACGGAGGCCUGCGGGUUGUAAAGCACUUUCAGCGGGGAGGCGUUACCCGCAGAAGAAGCACCGGCUAACUCCGUGCCAGCCGCCGCGGUAAUAC
rnacentral:rRNA from 1 species